CGGAUUAUGGCAGGAAAUCAUCCUGGAGAAAAGCAGGAGCUGCGGGGCGCGCUGGCUGCAGGCUCCCUCUGGAGAACGAUUUAGCGGCAUCGCGAUGUUGUUUUUCAGGGCUCUCCUGCGUUUCUCAUCAGGAGGCCAGAUUAGGGAAUAUCAGGUUUUGGAGAAAAUUCCCAGCCAAAACAUCCUCCCGGGGGAGCCCUGCGGGGAUCCUGAGGGAGCAGCAGGAGGAGGAGGAGCGGGGAUGCGAGGGGAGCUUGGAGGGACACGCUGUACAGCGGGGACUCGGCCAGAAAUCCCGAAUAUUUGGGAAGGGAAAUGCACCUGGAAAGCACAGCCCGUCUGCAGAGACCACGCAUUCUUCAGCCCAAACAACAUUCUUGGAUGGAGAUUUGAGGGAAUCUGGAGGGACUCGGUCACCCGGAGACGGAGCAACAGCCGAGCUGGAAACUCUGAGCGGGGCUGCUCCCGGAGCUCCUGGAAUGGCCAGAAUUCCAUGGGAGGUGUUCAGCAGCUUCCCCGGCGUGGGGAGAGCAGCCUGUGCUGAGGGAGGGACAGAAAAUCCCAAAUUGUCCCUUCCUGUCCCCGGCUGGGAGCUGGGAAAUGUUGGGGAAUGUUGGGGAAUGUUGGGAAAUGU